UCUCCGCUUGCGCGGGCAGUCUUUUUAGAGUCCCCAGCUUAACCUGUUGGCAACUAAAAAUAAGGGUUGCGCUCGUUGCGGGACUUAACCCAACAUCUCACGACACGAGCUGACGACAGCCAUGCACCACCUGUGAAGGUGUCCCGAAGGAAAACCGUGUUUCCACGGCUAUCACCUACAUGUCAAGCCCAGGUAAGGUUCUUCGCGUUGCGUCGAAUUAAACCACAUGCUCCGCUGCUUGUGCGGGCCCCCGUCAAUUCAUUUGAGUUUUAAUCUUGCGACCGUACUCCCCAGGCGGGAUGCUUAAUGCGUUAGCUGCGCCACUGACGAGUAAACCCGCCAACGGCUAGCAUCCAUCGUUUACAGCGUGGACUAC
rnacentral:misc_RNA from 1 species